ACCUGGCUGGCUCAGUCAGUGGAGUGUAUGACUCCUGAUCUCAGGGUUGUGAGUUCGAGCCCCACGUUGGGUG
rnacentral:tRNA from 1 species